UGGACCAGGUGAAAAUGAACAAGCACAAGAAAGAGGGGGAGGAAACGCCAUAAUGUUCUAUGUAAAUUGAGAAUGAAAGGCUGGUGAUCAGCCAUGACCUAGUACACCUGGGUUUGCAAGACGGCUCAGUGGGUAAAGACAUUUGCUGAGCAAUCUUGGAGAUAUGCGUUCCAUCUCCAAAACCCAUGUGAAGCUGGAAGAUCCAGAUGCAGAACCCUCAGCUCCUUCUUCAAACGCCAUGUCUUGCCUGCACACCGCCAUGUUCCUCAGCAUGAUAAUGGACUAAACUUCUGAAAGUGCAUGCCAGCCCCAAUUUAAUGUUUUCUGUGGUCACGGAGCCUCUUCGCAGCAAUAGAAACCCAAACUAAGACAGUCUCUAUUCACACUGUUCCCUCAGCAUACAUCCCACAAACAUGCGUGAGUGGAGAGACAUCAGAUCCUUGGCUUGUCAGUGUAUUUUUUGCCUUGAUGUAGGUUGAUUUUAGACAUAAUUUUACAAUGUCAUUUGAUAUCGAUGCCCUUUGCUUUUUUGGCUCACUGAAAUACUGUGGCAAUCUGAUUUAGCUCUUAAAAAUCUGGCCGACAAAUGAUUCCCUCAGUCCUGGGAAUUUUUAGAGGCAGGAUUUCCCCCCUAUGUUCACAGAAACAUCUGACACGUGUCCUAAAAAAUGGGACCUGAUAGUAUUCAGAGGAUUUUAUUUUUAAAAGAUUGUAACAAACAGACCUAAAAUUUAAACUUUUCGGAUUUGAACAGCACAAAGAGGUGGACUUAUCAGAACUCAAAGCAGUAACUGUUUAUGGCUCUAAUUAGUAGCAUGAACUUUCGAGGUGGGGGGGUGCCUAAAAAUGGGGUAGACCAAAUUCUUCUGUAAUCACCAACUUUCUUCAGGGCAAUUUAUACCCUGAGGGUUAAGAACAAUCACUUGUUCAAUCACAAGGACAAGCCUCACGUGGCAAAAAUAUUUUUUCCAUAGAAGCAUGUGAAUAACAACCACCAGCGGAAGUAAAUUGGAU